rnacentral:rRNA from 1 species
AUUGAACGCUGGCGGCAGGCCUAACACAUGCAAGUCGAGCGGAUGAAGGGAGCUUGCUCCUGGAUUCAGCGGCGGACGGGUGAGUAAUGCCUAGGAAUCUGCCUGGUCGUGGGGGAUAACGUCCGGAAACGGGCGCUAAUACCGCAUACGUCCUGAGGGAGAAAGUGGGGGAUCUUCGGACCUCACGCUAUCAGAUGAGCCUAGGUCGGAUUAGCUAGUUGGUGGGGUAAAGGCCUACCAAGGCGACGAUCCGUAACUGGUCUGAGAGGAUGAUCAGACACACUGGAACUGAGACACGGUCCAGACUCCUACGGGAGGCAGCAGUGGGGAAUAUUGGACAAAGGGCGAAAGCCUGAUCCAGCCAUGCCGCGUGAGUGAAGAAGGUCUUCGGAUUGUAAAGCACUUUAAGUUGGGAGGAAGGGCAGUAAGUUAAUACCUUGCUGUUUUGACGGUACCAACAGAAUAAGCACCGGCUAACUUCGUG